rnacentral:rRNA from 1 species
GACGAACGCUGGCGGCGUGCUUAACACAUGCAAGUCGAACGGAAAGGCCCUGCUUUUGUGGGGUGCUCGAGUGGCGAACGGGUGAGUAACACGUGAGUAACCUGCCCUUGACUUUGGGAUAACUUCAGGAAACUGGGGCUAAUACCGGAUAGGAGCUCCUGCUGCAUGGUGGGGGUUGGAAAGUUUCGGCGGUUGGGGAUGGACUCGCGGCUUAUCAGCUUGUUGGUGGGGUAGUGGCUUACCAAGGCUUUGACGGGAAGCCGGCCUGAGAGGGUGACCGGCCACAUUGGGACUGAGAUACGGCCCAGACUCCUACGGGAGGCAGCAGUGGGGAAUAUUGCACAAUGGGCGGAAGCCUGAUGUAGCAACGCCGCGUGCGGGAUGACGGCCUUCGGGUUGUAAACCGCUUUCGCCUGUGACGAAGCGUGAGUGACGGUAAUGGGUAAAGAAGCACCGGCUAACUACGUG